CAUCUCUUAACGAAAUAUUGUUAAGUAUCACCUGCUCAAUGAAUUUUUUAAUAGCCGCAGAAAUUUAACUGUGCUAAGGUAGCAUAAUCAUUAGCUCUUUAAUUAAGGGCUCGUAUGAAUGGUUUAACAUUUUAUAUACUAUUAUAUUUUAAAUAAAUUAAAAUUUAAUUAAGAAUAAAAAUGUUCUUAUAAUAAAAAAAGACGAUAAGACCCUAUUGAACUUUACUUUAGUUUAACUGGGGCAGUUAACUAAUAAUAAUCUUACUUACUAUUUUUUUAUAAAUACCCAAUUAAUUUGAUUUGAAUAAGUUACCAUAGGGAUAACAGCGUAAUUUGUUUCUAAAGCUCUUAUUUAAAAACAAGAUUGCGACCUCGAUGUUGAAUUAAUGAUCCUUCUUAAAUGCAACAAUUUAUAAAGUAGGUCUGUUCGACCUUUAAAUCAUUACAUGAU
rnacentral:rRNA from 1 species